rnacentral:lncRNA from 1 species
ACCAGUGUGUACAACCAUAUGGCUGUUCAGAUGGCUCUUCCUGUAAUAACUUUUACCACACUCUCCACACUUAAAAUUCUUUUCACCAGUGUGUACAACUAUUUGUUCCUUUAGUUGUCCCUUUUGGUUAUAACUUUUACCACUUUCCAGACAUUUACGAGUUUUCUCAUCAACAGUCACAUGUCGUGUUACAUCAUAGUUACUGUUAAAACUUUCAUCAAACUCUUCACACUUAAUAUCUUUCUCAUCAACAGUCACAUGUUGUGUCACAUCAUAGUUACUGUUAAAACUUUCAUCAAACUCUUCACACUUAAUAUCUUUCUCAUCAACAGUCACAUGUUGUGUCACAUCAAAGUUACUGUUAAAACUUUCAUCAACUUCUUCAUACUUAAUAUUUAUCUCAUCAAUGUGUUCGGCCAUACAGGUAUGCAUCUUCAGAGAAUCACUACUGUAAAAUAAAUCACCACACUGUACACACUCAUAAUUAUUUUGGCCACCAUGUCCAGCUAUUUGAUUCAUAAACUGGGCCAUCUUUUACAAACUUUACAACACUCCAUACUAGAAAAUAUUUCCCUCAGUGUACACACUUUUGGGUAACUUUUGACUGUAUAAAAAAGUUAUCCACUCUUCACAGCUAAAUUUGCAUUAAUAAUUCUGCACAUGUAUGUGGUUCUUGAGCUCACUAUUGUAUGAGGAAUAUUUACAAGUGAACUUUGUCUCACCAGUAUACAAGCACGGCAGACAAACACUUGUCGCAUUUAUAUAAUGGAACGUUUAUCAGCAGUGUACACAGGCAUAAGAGUCACAAGGUAGUUGUUUAGGUAGAAACAUUGCAACCCUCAUCAUACUGUAUUUAAACAAUAUAUAACACAGUGCACCACUUAAUUGGUAUUUUCAGGAGAAGAUUCACUUGUGUGAAUGUUCUUUUUAUUCUCACUGUUUCCUAGAACACCAACUUGCCUUUCAAAUUUGUAACUUAAGACUUGGAGAGUUGACAAUUUACCUUAAUCUUGCUUACAAUGUUCUUUUGAAGAUGUUCACUAAUCCUCAUACUGUACUGACUUAUUGUACAGUUGUGAGGAAUUGUUCUGCCUCCUGUUUUAUACAGCUUUAAUCUUGUGUUGUGGUGGGAGAUGUUUGUGUGGGGUGGCCUCCUGUAUCUUUCUUAUGUCCAUCCACUCGCAUCUUUAUAUCUGAAAUAAUGUGGAAACAAUUUUAUAAUGUGCAUCUUGCAGGAGCUACCUUGUGUCAUUCCAAGUGUCAAGGAAGUGCCCACCUACUCAAGACUUUGGGAGGAAAAAAUUACUUUCCACAAAGAGCAAUAAAUCCUACAGAACUGGGGCCGGAUACUCAAAACACCUCAUAAGUUAAGUCUUUCAGCAUGAUACAGUACCAUAUAUUGUCGAAUCUUUACAGUACCGUAAAUUUAGCAUACUCAAAAUUUUAUUACAGUUACGUAAGCCGUUCGUAAGUUUUCAUAACUCUAGUGUUUACCCUGUAAAUUAAGUUCUCUUGUCGGAAGGUAGAUGUCAGUGCAGGAGCUGGUUGGCCAAUGAGCGCUCAGUUAACAAAAUCAUCAACCAAUCACAAGAGAAGGAGAAAUCAGCUGAGAGCGACGCACGUGAUAUUAGUUUGUAAACAAAAGAUGGAAGGACAACCACCUGAACAAACGACCAAAUUUCAGUGAGACUGAAGUAUGCGCCAUGGUGUGUGAAGUCGCCAAAAGAAAGAAAAUAUUUUUAGGGAAAUUGGACUCGAGAUGUACAAUCAAAUUGAAGAAUCAUGCCUGGAGGCUGCCCCCAAAUUGAAAAUACCCUGUACAUACACUGCAAUUGACGAAGCAGUUCUUCAACUCUUAGAUCCAGCCUUUACACAUGGGAUUCCAGCGAUUUUGUAAAGUGAGGAACUUAUUGAUGAAGAAGAAAGAGAACAAACCCCAGGACCCUCAGGAGCUAGGUUUACGGCUAUUCAUUCCAUCGAGGAAUCUAUGUUUAGGACCGUUCAAGAGAAAGAGGAUUCUCUAACUACAGUGAGUUCUGCUAUAACGCGUGUUUUGAUAACGCGAAUUUGCUCUAACGCGAUUUAUGAAUUCGGAACAAUAUUUGUAUAACGCGAACGCUUGUUUGCUAUA